UACGAAGGGGGCUAGCGUUGCUCGGAAUCACUGGGCGUAAAGGGCGCGUAGGCGGCGUUUUAAGUCGGGGGUGAAAGCCUGUGGCUCAACCACAGAAUGGCCUUCGAUACUGGGACGCUUGAGUAUGGUAGAGGUUGGUGGAACUGCGAGUGUAGAGGUGAAAUUCGUAGAUAUUCGCAAGAACACCGGUGGCGAAGGCGGCCAACUGGACCAUACUGACGCUGAGGCGCGGAAAGCCAGGGAGCAAACGGG
rnacentral:rRNA from 1 species